CGGGGUGUAGCGCAGCCCGGUAGCGCUCCUGUUUUGGGAACAGGCGGUCGCAGGUUCGAAUCCUGUCGCCCCGACAA
rnacentral:tRNA from 7 species